GGGCGAUUGGCUCAGUGGUAGAGCGCCCGCUUUGCAUGCGGGAGGCCCAGGGUUCAAUCCCCUGAUCGUCCA